GUCUACGACCAUGCCACCCUGAACAAGCCCGAUCCUGUCUGAUCUCGGAAGCUAAGCAGGGUCAGGCCUGGAGUACUUGGAUGGGAAACCACCUAGGAAUACCAGGUUCUACAGGCA
rnacentral:rRNA from 1 species